ACGAGAGCUGAAAACAAAAGGGACAAAAAGUACAAAAGGAAUUUAAAAAAAUAAUUAGGUAUGGAUUUUACAUGAAACAACAGCAAUGUUACGGAUAUACUUAUGCAACUUCCUCAAGUACUGCACAAGAUUCAAAGUGUGUAGACUGCUGAAUCGUUCUGCUGGUGAUGGAUUUUAACCUGGCAUCUUCUGGGCAAUUUUUACAAUGAGACGUGGAUAUAUCUUUUAAUCAAAAUUUUCAUUUUCAAGUAUAUGCUUCUGCAUGUAAACGGAGGAGGUAUUUGCUAACAAUGCGUUUGUGGUGUGGAAAAAAUCUUCGAGCAUUUUGCUGGAACACAAUGGCAGCAGCGCCUGUAAAAAACGACGAUCGAGGGGGAACGAAGCUCUCUGCAGAGGGAUAACGUUAAAUGGGUCACGGGCUCUACCAGCUGCUAGGUUCCAUACGCCGCAAUCAAAGUGAAUGUUCUAAAAUUAUUACAGUCAAACAGUCAUGUGGUGGCAGUUAAUGUCCCAAGUGUUUAAUCAUCUUACAGUAGAAUGGUUUUAUGCAUAUUUCAUUUGCAUAUCAUUAAGCUGGUUAAGCAUGGGGUAUUCAGAGUGGGAUGAAUACAAUGCGAAUCUCAUAUGAUCCAUAUCAGAGAAGCUGGUCUGUUCAAUGAACUGUCUGCAUUUUUUUUUGCUUUUAAUCCGAUGACUGUUACAUUUCGUACAUGGUGGCCGGAAGUCAUUACUAAUUCUAAUUAAAAAUUUUAAAUUGCUGAAAAUUUUGAAAAUUAUACAACAAAGGAAAUUUAAGGGGACAUGCAUUCGCCAGUAUAGAAAUUUUGCUCAAUAGGAAAGCAAUGUUAAUAACUAUUUAAUUUUUGUGAAAAUGGGAACUUUUGUUUAUAUAAGUAAACAAAAAAAAAUAGCAGACGUGAAAAUUAAGUGAAAUUGCGAAUUAACGUUGCAACAUUUGUUUGCCUCAAAGUCGCACUGCAUGCGUCAAUUAUAAUGCACAAAUUGGUGUGCAUAUGAUUGCGAUAGCCACUAUUAAACCAUUAAUGUGAUUAAUUAAUUAUUUCACCCUGAAAGCCUAUUAUGCGUACACGACAGAUACAGUGGAGUCUUUGUCACUUUCAUACAUGAAUAACAUAGUAAUCGCAGGCCUUUGUGUAUCUACUCAAUGGUUUAAUUCAUUCACCCCAGCAUUGCCUAGUUCUGGCAGAUAAUCAAAAUUACUUCCUGGGAAAACUAAAAAGACAAUUAAGCAUGGAAAUCUUUUGCUGAUGUACAACAUAUGAAUUCAUUUGGAAAUUAGGCCACUUUGUUCCUGCCUUCGCUCUCGCUUUUGUUUCCAAUCUUAAUAUUCAAAUGAGCUACAUCGUGACUCUACUGUACAAUUAGCUGGCGAUAAAAGCCAGACACUGCUGACGGCGACAUUUUGUGCAGAGGACAUGCAGAUGUCGCUGUUGUUCUUCACAUGGCUAUAAUGAUAUGUAAAACAGCGAGCAUCACUUGGAUACAAAGUAAUUUAAAUUUUAUUGCAAGAAAUCUCUGCUUUUUCUUCUGGAGGAAUGCCUUCAUAAAUGUGGCUCGAAUCAAAUGGUGUUGGAAUUCUGGAGCAUUUGCCAUGGAAUUAUAAACAUAAUGACAUAAAUGUGCAUGUAGUCAUCUACUGUAGUCCUGAAUAGUACCAAUUCAACUACCUUCGAAUGGAUUUAUCAAUAUGGAUAACCUUUAUUUCCAUUACUGAAUACUUGAUCUACUUUACAUACAUAACUGAAUUAUAGAAACAUUUCUCCAAUGGCUUUCACUAAUUUAUCCACCGGAUAUUAUCACUCAGUCACUGAUGAUUUUCACACCGUUGGUAUUCAGGUCACCACUUUUCACUACUGUUGGAAGCCUCUUAGGAUUAUGGACAACUUGUUUCCGCUCCGAUUCCUCAAGUUCCAAGGUGGCUGAUGAGGCCUAAAUGGGAUCUGCCAACUCAAGAAGGCAUGAGAGGCUGUGUUCAUCAGCGCGGAUGGGAUGUAAUGAGGGAGGAGAUGUACUCCUUCUACAGUUUUCACAUAGCUUUUGCACUCUCCUGAACAGCUGAGAUUCUGUGCCAUCCCAGAUGCUUCACCAUUUUGGUUGGGCAUUAGCCAGGAAUUUGCACUGCGCUUCGAGAACGUGAAAUUUUGUCAAGGAAGUUUUGAGAAGCCUCGACUCAUUUCCUUUGUCAUCCUGGCAAUUUCUUGUUGUGAAAGAGUUCAAAGUAGAAUGGAGUUCUGGACAUGUGAUAUCGGGCAUGCAGAUACCCCACAAAUUUGUGAUGAUGGAGUGUGAUGAGAGCCGCAAUGAGAGGAUUGUCAGCCUAACAAAGAAUGCUGAUGUUGGCUGAUUUACCAUGCCAGUUAAUUUGGAGGACAACCAUGAUGGCACCAUUCCAAUGUUCUGAAGUGCCUACUGCAGGCAAUCAUUUUCUGAGAUUUAUAAGAUGGUAUGAUCAGUGGUCCUAGUAGACCGAGUGUUCUGUACCAGGCUGGGGUCCUGAUCGUCAAACCUUUGUUUUCUCAGACUGGAACUGUGGUGAAUUUCAUUUUUGAUGUCCAUCUUUGCUGAGAGUUGGCUACCGAGAUAUGGGUCCUGACCCGAAAUGUCACCUAUCCAUUUUCUCUGGAGAUGCUGCCUGAUCUGCUGUAUUACUACAUCAUUGAGUGUCUAUCGCAACUUCCUUCGAAGAUUGAGGAGAUCUGGCAUAUCGUCAAAUACUCUACUGAAUGUCUACAACAUCUACAGCAUUUUGACCAGUUGUAAAACAGCCUGGCUUGGCACCUGACUUGAAUGCCCAAAAAGGGGUGCGGCUUGAUUCCUAAUGAAGCAUGGGGAAUUCCAGAUGGCCCAGUAGUUCAAGCAGACAAGGAGUAAAAUUUUAACAAGAAAUCCUGAACUAGAGAUCUCAGCUUCAGAAAUCAUGCAAUGAAUUUCAGAAGUUCUUAUUCAAGUUGUUUGAUGAACAACAGUCAAAAAGGCACAACAGAAGAUGCACUUGCUACGGCAGCUGAGGACACACAAUCUGCCACAGGCUAUGAUGGUCCAAUUCUACACGGCCAUCGUAGAGCCUCUCACCUUCUCCAUCAUGGUUUGGUUUGGCUCAGCCACCAAGCACGACACUUGAAGGCUGCAGCAAAUCAUCCGAUCAGCAGAGAAGGUUAUUGGCUGCAACCUUCCCUCCAUUGAUGAACUGUACACUGCAAGGGCCAGGAAGCGAGCGGGCAAGAUCAUCUCAUCCUGGCGACAAACUCUUUGAAUCACUUCCCUCUGGAAGGCGACUCCGGACUGUCAAACCUGCCACAGCCAGACAUAAAAACUGUUUUUAUCCACAAGUAGCUAGAUAGGGCACUUAAAAAUAGCAGAGUCAAGGGAUAUGGGGAGAAGGCAGGAACGGGGUACUGAGUGUGGAUGUUCAGCCAUGAUCACAUUGAAUGGUAGUGCUGGCUCGAAGGGCCGAAUGGUCUACUCCUGCACCUAUUGUCUAUUGUCGAAGUAGUUGCUAUACUCAAAAAUCUGUAGCCUCCCUUUGAUCUUGUAUUUUGUUGGUUCACAUGCUUGAUCAAUGCUAUUUUAUCAUUAAUGUUUUAUUAUUAUUAAUGUUUAGUGUUUUCUGAAUCAUUUGUAACUGUCACUGUAUGUCAUGUUGUUACUUGUGAGCGGAGCAACAAGGCAAAUUCCUUGUAUGUGAAUACUUGGCCCAUAAACUUACUUACUUACUUAACUUACUUACUUACAUGAUCCAACUGAGAAAAAAUAAAAUUGGAUGUUAAACUGCACCUUGCAGAAAUACUUAUUUUGUCCCUUUAGUCAAGAUGGAAGCAGCAUGCUAGUGACAGACAAUAGUUAGAGAGCAUGAAAGUAGGGAAUUCACAAAUAUAUGAGAAUCUAUUAGCAAAUUAAGACAAAUGAGCAUUUUAAUUUUACUAAAAUUAAUUACUUAAAAUUACUUGUAAAAUAUUGCUUGUAAAAUUAUAAAUAACUGCAUUUAAAAUGCCUGUUUCCCUUUGUACAUUUUCUUCAGAGGAUUAAGGAAAUUUAAACACUAGAUUAAAAUCAUGAUACUGAACACUUUAAUAAGUAUAAACAAACAAUUUAGAAUUUUGUAUGAAGUUAUUUCAUCUUUCCAAAUGUUAAAUCUCAAUGCUUUAUCCUUUACAAAUGUAAUUCAUACUGUAAAGGGGCUGUCCCACUGCGGCGACCUAAUUGGCGAGUUUAGAAGAGUUCGCCCUCGACUCAUACUUGCAGCAUGGUCGAUAGGAGGUUCCAGGAGGUCUUUGUAACUCUCCUUCAUCCCCGCGUACUUGAGGCCUCAUCUGGGUCCUGGCGUCUUUCAACAUGCUGAAAAAUGCCUGCGAGUAAAAAAAGGUCACCAUGGAAAAAAAUUGAUAUUUUCUUUACUCGUAGGUUUAGUCGAAGUCGGUCGUAGUAGGUCGGCAUGUCAUUCAUAGGUAAUCGAGGGUAGUCAAAGGUAGUUGUAGAUAGUCUUCAACAUAGUCGAAGGGAGGUCGAAGGAGAUCUAAGGAGGUCGUCUUCACUCUCCACUAUUUGGUGUCCAAUUAUCCCAAAGCUAGUCGAAGCUAGUCUUCAACAUAGUCGAAGCUAGUCUUCAACAUAGUCGAAGCUAGUCUUCAACAUAGUCGAAGGAGGUCUUCAACAUGACACUUUUUCAAACUCUUCUAAACUCGGCAAUUAGGUCACCGCAGUGGGACAACCCCUUAAAUCAAUGUGGUUUCACAUACUGAAAAUGUUUGGCUAAUUUGUUUCUGACCAUUUUCUCCUAAAAAAGGGAUAUUUAAAAUGUGUAUGAAAUGCUCUGUAUCACCCUUAAACAAUGUCAACGUAAUGUUUUCCAAAGUGUCUUCCAGUUGGUUUGAUUUUCACAGGGUGAACAGUCAAUUUAAAUGAAAACUUACACAAAUUGAGGUAAAACUAGGCUGAACUAAAAUUUUUAUGAUGAGUUUAAUGUAUAACUACUUUGCUGCCAUUAAAUUUCCAAUAAUUUGAACACAUAAGAUUGAUCCUUCUUACAUUUUUCUAAUCCUGCCUUUAAAAAUGGAUUAAAUAAUCCAACGAGAAACUGAAUUUCUUGAUCUACUAAUUUGCCCAUGUUCUAUACUGAAAGAGAUAGUACAACAGAACAUAUUUAUUGAUAACAAUUAUUGCUUUAUUUAUAGUAUAACUUCAAUUUCAAGUUUGGGCGUCGUUUUGUUAUGUUAUUUCAAGAACGCUUCUGAUUUUUUUUUUUAAAUCCAUUCAGGAAGAAACUAGGAUUCCUCCAUAUCUAGUGUUUAAGAAGGAACUGCAGAUGCUGGAGAA